rnacentral:snRNA from 1 species
GUGCUCGCUUCGGCAGCACAUAUACUAAAAUUGGAAUGAUACAAAGAAGAUUAGCAUGGACCCAGCACACAGAUGACAUGCAAAUUUGUGAAGCGUUCCAUAUUUUU